GUAGUACUCCCUCCGUCCGGAAAUACUUGUCAUCAAAAUGAAUAAAAGGGGAUGUAUCUAGAUGUAUAUUAGUUCUAGAUACAUCUUUUUUAUCCAUUUUGAUGACAAAUAUUUUCGGACGGAGGGAGUACUUG
rnacentral:pre_miRNA from 1 species